rnacentral:rRNA from 1 species
GACGAAGGAUGCAAGCGUUAUCCGGAUUCAUUGGGUUUAAAGGGAGCGUAGGCGGACUUGUAAGUCAGUGGUGAAAUCUUUGGGCUUAACCCAGAAACUGCCAUUGAUACUGCAGGUCUAGAGUACAGUUGCCGUUGGCGGAAUAUGACAUGUAGUGGUGAAAUACUUAGAUAUGUCAUAGAACACCGAUUGCGAAGGCAGCUAACGAAACUGUAACUGACGCUGAGGCUCGAAAGUGCGGGGAUCAAACAGG